rnacentral:rRNA from 1 species
UACGUAGGGUGCAGGCGUUAAUCGGAAUUACUGGGCGUAAAGCGUGCGCAGGCGGUUUGCUAAGAGAGAUGUGAAAUCCCCGGGCUUAACCUGGGAACUGCGUUUCUAACUGGCAGGCUUGAGUGUGGCAGAGGGGGGUGGAAUUCCACGUGUAGCAGUGAAAUGCGUAGAUAUCAGGAGGAACACCGGUGGUGUAAACGGCUUUCUGGACCAUAACUGACGCUGAGGCACGAAAGCGUGGGUAGCAAACAGG